rnacentral:rRNA from 1 species
GGGGAUCCUCUAGAGAUUCGCCCGCCGCGCGCGGCGGGCGGGGCGGGGGCACGGGGGGCCUACGGGAGGCAGCAGUGGGGAAUAUUGCACAAUGGGGGAAACCCUGAUGCAGCGACGCCGCGUGAGCGAAGAAGUAUUUCGGUAUGUAAAGCUCUAUCAGCAGGGAAGAAAAUGACGGUACCUGACUAAGAAGCUCCGGCUAAAUACGUGCCAGCAGCCGCGGUAAUAAU